rnacentral:rRNA from 1 species
AAAUUAGUAUAAACGAGAGGCGAGUGGAAGACUAGGAUACUAUAUAAAAGGACGUGAAAAACGAAAUGUCGUAAAAGAGAUAUCUGAGAUAAGACACUCCUUUUGAGAAAUCUUUGAGGAAAUAACCUUUGAGAAUUGAAACAUCUAAGUAUCAAGGGAAUAAAAAUCAAGCGAGAUUUCGUUAGUAGUGGCGAGCGAAUGCGAAUAACAGGGUAGUUAUUAAUUAAAAACUAAUUUUAUAUCACCAAAGGGGAUAACAGAUCUGUAGGGUUUAAAUAAUAACAAUAUUAUUGAGUAUAAUUAUUAAAAUACAGGUGUACCACACACCUAAGACUAAAUAAUAUAGUAUACCGAUAGUAAACGAGUACUGUAAAGGAAUGUUGAAAGAGAUAUUAGUGAAAAAGAGCCGGAAACUCGUCUACUUACAAGUAGACAUAAUAUUGUCGUACCUUUUGUAUAAUGGGUUCACAAGAAUAAUAUUUGGCAAACUUAAGUUUAUAAAUGUAGGUAAAGUGAAAGCGAGUUUUAAUAAAACGAGAUAAAGUCAAAUGAUCCCGAAACCAAGUGAUCUAGUCAUGGGCAGUUUGAAACAAUUCAAAAAAAGUUGUGGAGGAACGAACCGGUGAUUGUGGCAAAAAUCUCGGAUGACCUGUGGCUAGGGGUGAAAGGCCAAUCGAACUUGGAAAUAGCUGGUUUUCUGCGAAAACUAUAUAAGUAGUACAUCAUAUAUAUUCUAACAUGAUAGAGCUCUGAAUAAAUUUAGGGAGAGUUUCUUUACUAAAUAAAAUUAAACUAUGAAUGUGUUAGAAGAAAUUUUGAUAGACAGACGUUGGCGAGAAGGUCAAUAGUCAAAAGGGAAACAGCCCUUAUUUGAAGUUAAGGUCAUAAAGAUGGGCUAAGUGUAAAAGAGGAUUAUUUUUAAUAUUAGAUAAUGAGUAAGUAGGCUUGGAACCAGCCAUCUUUUAAAGAUUACGUAAUAGUUCACUCAAUAAAUUUAAUAACCUCUAAAAUUUAGGUGGCUUAAGACCAUUUGAUCCGAAACUCUGAAUAUGAAUUAUGGUAGCAGAACGUACUGUAUUUAUUAGUGUAAACGAAAUCAGAAGUGAUAAUGUGAAUAUGAGUAAAAAACAAUGUAGAAAUCAUUGUUCAUGACCUAAGGUUUCCAAUUAAAGGAUGUUCCUAAUUGGGUUAAACAGUCCCUAAAAUAUAUGGGAACGUAGUAAAAUAAAUUACGCUUAAUGCGUCAGGAAGUAAUUAUUCCACAAAACGGGCUGUACUAAAACUGACACGAGUGGGUCGUAACAUGAUGGUAUAAUUUAUCUUAAGGAAUUCGGCAAAUUGUUCCUGUAAGUUCGCGAGAAGGGAAGUUAAUAAUUUAAAGAUAAAAUUAUUAAUUGCAAAGAAGAGGGGGUGUCGACUGUUUACCAAAAACAUAGCUUCCUGCUAAGUUCUCAAAAUAUUGGAAGUGAGGCCUGCCCAAUGGUUGUAUCUAAACCCAAGUAAUAAUUAGGUUAACUUGGUUAAGGACAAUUUAAUGGCCGCGGUAACACUGACCGUGAUAAUGUAGCGCAAUCAAUAGCCAAUUAAUUAUUGGCAAGUAUGAAUGGCUUAACGAGCGCCCCGCUGUCUCAAGAUAAAUACCAAUGAAAUUAAAUUCGUAGUGAAGAUGCUACGUACAAAUUGUAAGACGAGAAGACCCCAUUGAGCUUGACUGAAGGUUUAUAAAAUUGGGGGUUAAUUAAUGUGUAGACUAUGUGGGAAAUAAAGAUUUAUUUAAUUUUUAUGAAAAACCACUCUUUUAAUUAAAAACUAAUUAGGUACGCCCUUAUGAGGGCGUAUUUACGUGUAAAUCAGACAGUUUGGUUGGGGCGACCACCUUCUAAAAAGUAACGAAGGUAAACAUAAGGCUAAUAUAAUAUAAUAAGGCCAGACAGUGAGGGGUACUUCCUAGCUGACACGGGGUUUGAAGCCUUGCUUCGUCCCCGCUGUGUUAUAAUGACCCGUUGGUUAAAAGUGGGAUUACUAACGAUCAAUGGAUAAAAGUUACCAUGGGGAUAACAGAGUAAUAUCGUCUGAGAGUUCAUAUCGAUGACGAAGUUUGCUACCUCGAUGUUGAAUUGUGGUAUCCUGAGGGUGCAGCUGCUCUCAAGGGUUGGACUGUUCGUCCAUUAAAACCAUACAUGAUUUGAGUUCAGACCGGCGUGAGCCAGGUCGGUUUCUAUCUACAAUUUNGUAAGGAUGCAUUAUACAUAUCUAUCUUCUAGUACGAAAGGACCGAAGUAUUAGUUGUCCUCUGGUGUUCCAAUUAAAAGUUGGGGAGUUACGACAGUCAAAAAAAAUCACUGAAAGCAUCUUAAGUGAGAAAUAUGNGUAAAUCUGUGCUUCCAUAUAAGAGUGUUUAAGAUAAAAACAUUGAUAGGACCUAAGUGAAGAGCUUCAGGUUACUAAUAAUCUUUAAUACUAAUUUUA